rnacentral:rRNA from 1 species
CCUACGGGUGGCUGCAGUGGGGAAUAUUGGACAAUGGGCGAAAGCCUGAUCCAGCCAUGCCGCGUGUGUGAAGAAGGCCUUCGGGUUGUAAAGCACUUUCAGUGGGGAAGAAAGCCUUGGGGCUAAUACCCUCGAGGAAGGACAUCACCCACAGAAGAAGCACCGGCUAACUCCGUGCCAGCAGCCGCGGUAAUACGGAGGGUGCGAGCGUUAAUCGGAAUUACUGGGCGUAAAGCGCGCGUAGGCGGUCUGAUAAGCCGGGUUGUGAAAGCCCCGGGCUCAACCUGGGAACGGCAUCCGGAACUGUCAGGCUAGAGUGCAGGAGAGGAAGGUAGAAUUCCCGGUGUAGCGGUGAAAUGCGUAGAGAUCGGGAGGAAUACCAGUGGCGAAGGCGGCCUUCUGGACUGACACUGACGCUGAGGUGCGAAAGCGUGGGUAGCAAACAGGAUUAGAUACCCCUGUAGUC